GUCUGAGACCACCCGUCCCUGAAAAUCCAGUUCAAAAUUCACCAAAUCUCAACCUGGUCUCUCAGACUGUAGAUAAUGGCAGCCACCUCUAUGAUGAAACUGUAACUGAGUACAGUAUGGUUGGUCUGGCUAGAUAUGGUGAUUCUACUGUGGAGCAUUGUGAUCCUGCACCUCAGAAUGAUGAGAACACUUUGUAUUCAUUUAUCAUGAAAUACUGAGGAUAAAAGACUAGAUCAGUGGCCUUCUUUCCCCCGAAAAUGUAACUCUUAAAACCCUGUUGACAUGAAAUGGUGCAUAUGGUCAGUUUGCUAAAAAAAAAAAA